GACGAACGCUGGCGGCGUGCUUAACACAUGCAAGUCGAACGAAGUGGCGAACGGGUGAGUAACGCGUAAUCAACCUGCCCUUCAGAGGGGGACAACAGUUGGAAACGACUGCUCAUACCGCAUACUUAAGGAGGGGCUUGCGUCUGAUUGGCUAGUUGGAGGGGUAACGGCACACCAAGGCGAUGAUCAGUAGCCGGUAUGAGAGGAUGAACGGCCACAUUGGGACUGAGACACGGCCCAGACUCCUACGGGAGGCAGCAGUGGGGAAGGUUGGACAAUGGGGGAAAGCCUGACCCAGCCAUGCCGCGUGUCUGAAGAAGGCCUUCGGGUUGUAAAGGACUUUUGUCAGGGAAGCGGUACCUGAAGAAUAAGCACCGGCUAACUACGUGCCAGCCGCCGCGGUAAUUC
rnacentral:rRNA from 1 species